rnacentral:rRNA from 1 species
UACGUAGGGUGCGAGCGUUGUCCGGAAUUAUUGGGCGUAAAGAGCUUGUAGGCGGUUUGUCGCGUCUGCUGUGAAAAUCCGGGGCUCAACCCCGGACUUGCAGUGGGUACGGGGCAGACUAGAGUGUGGUAGGGGAGACUGGAAGUUCCUGGUGUAGCGGUGAAAUGCGCAGAUAUCAGGAGGAACACCGAUGGCGAAGGCAGGUCUCUGGGCCACUACUGACGCUGAGAAGCGAAAGCAUGGGGAGCAAACAGG